AUUCGGACGGGCCCCGCACAAGCAGCGGAGCGUGUGGUUAAUUCGAUGUUACACGAAGACCUUACCAGGGUUUGACAUGCAAGUGGUAGGAAGCCGAAAGGUGACCGACCCUUCGGGGAGCUUGCACAGGUGCUGCAUGGCUGUCGUCAGCUCGUGUCGUGAGAUGUUCGGUUAAGUCCGCUAACGAGCGCAACCCUCGCUGUGUGUUAUAUGUGUCACACGGGACUGCCGGUCUUAAGCCGGAGGAAGGUGGGGAUGAUGUCAAGUCAGCAUGGCCUUUAUAUCCUGGGCUACACACACGCUACAAUGGCCAACACAAUAGGUUGCUAAGCCGCGAGGUGGCGCCAAUCCAUAAAGUUGGUCUCAGUUCAGAUUGUAGGCUGCAACCCGCCUGCAUGAAGAUGGAGUUGCUAGUAACCGCAGGUCAGCUAUACUGCGGUGAAUACGUUCCCGGGGCUU
rnacentral:rRNA from 1 species